GCUGGAUCCUGGAGGAACUGCGAGGACUCUGACUGGAUUCUGAGGCAGUGAGAAGUCACAGAAGGACAUAAGCGGGCAGUUGGGGAAUGACCGCAGGCUCUUUGGGUGUUAGACUGCUGUCUUCAAUCAUUCAUUUGUUCAUCGAUGGAGCAAAUACUUAAUAUGUAGCUAUCACAAGUGGAUGCUGUGCUGAGACCCAGGAGUGCAGGGAUGCAUGAGACCUCUUCCUUGCCUUCAAGGCACUGACAGCCUACUCUUCUCUUCACAAUCUGAUAGUCUCAUUCAGAUUUGUAUCUCUCAAGAUCACUGACACAGAAGGGGCUCAAGAAGGUGCUUAAUAAAUAACGGUGGGUUGAGAAACUGCUCCAGCUAUGAACCCAGAA